rnacentral:rRNA from 1 species
GACGAACGCUGGCGGCGUGCUUAACACAUGCAAGUCGAGCGGUAAGGCCCUUUCGGGGGUACACGAGCGGCGAACGGGUGAGUAACACGUGGGUGACCUGCCCUCAGCUCUGGGAUAAGCCUGGGAAACCGGGUCUAAUACUGGAUAUGACUCCAUGACGCAUGUUGUGGGGUGGAAAGCCUUGUGCGGCUGAGGAUGGGCCCGCGGCCUAUCAGCUUGUUGGUGGGGUGAUGGCCUACCAAGGCGACGACGGGUAGCCGGCCUGAGAGGGCGACCGGCCACACUGGGACUGAGACACGGCCCAGACUCCUACGGGAGGCAGCAGUGGGGAAUCUUGCGCAAUGGGCGAAAGCCUGACGCAGCGACG